GAGAGUGUAGCUCAGUGGUAGAACAUGUGCUUGGCAUGCACGAGGUCCUGGGUUCAAUCCCCAGUACCUCCA
rnacentral:tRNA from 1 species